rnacentral:lncRNA from 10 species
CGUGCCCGGCUUGAAUAAUGUUAAUAAGGGAUUUGGAUAAUGCUGCUAGAAGAACUCUAGGAAUGUAAUACAACUUUAAAAAACAAAACAAACACAAACUUCUAUAAUUUGCAUUCUCCCACAUCUCUUCAUUUGUAAAAUGUAUUACACUGAAUCAAAACACAUGAGAUACAUAAAUCAGAUUUAAUUUUCAAUUAGAAUAAAAUUCCUGAUCUAUUCUCUGGGUAAAACUUAUUAAUCCCUAAAAGUUCUCUUUAAAAUGAACUGUUUGUUAUAGCACAUUCCCUAAAAACAAAAGUACUGCAUUUGACUUCAGGAGAGCUAAGUGUGAGUGUCAAUUCUUCCAUUUAUUAGUUGGUGACCGCAGGGGACAUAAGACCUACCCAGGAUGUGCUCCCACUUUGUUCCUUCUCUGGAGCACCCCAAUCUUGCUCAAGUAUCUCCCCAUCCCAUACCUAGGAGAAGCUGAUCUCACCUCCAGCACCAUAGGUAAUCCGCCCUCCCUCCAGUGAUUUGGGCAGAAAUGGGUGUUAGUUAUUAUAAGUUGAGAUUCUAAUUAAUAAUACUAACGUUGAAAAAAUUACUCAUCUCUUCCACAUCCCCACAUUCUAAUCUAUUAAAACAGGGAUGAUGCUCUUGGCUCUAUUUAACAUAAUCACCGUAAAGUGCUUUUUUAUUUUGCAAAAUGGAAUAUAUUCAGAAGAUGGUAUUGUGUCAAAAAGAAAUAGAAGUAAGUGGACUAGCUUGGGACAUUUCCUAUAAACUGUUAUUGUUGUAUUUGCAAAUUAUGGAAGCUAUUUUCUUUUAAAAACUGUUUCAAAUGUGUAUAUUCAAAUGAGUGUCAGUUACUUUGAAUUAGUCACGUUGUGAAUUUCUGCAUGUAUUCAUUCAGUCAUCCUCCUAUGCACCAGGCACUAUAGUUGCUACGGGUACAGUAAUUCGCAAGA